rnacentral:lncRNA from 1 species
UAAAAUUAGGUGAAAGGACCGUAGACUGGGUCUUCACUCCAUAGAUAGGGUGAGUUUUAACCGCAAUGUCCUCAGGUAGGACAGAGCAUCUAGAAAAGUUUCUACAAACAUCAUAUCUUCAAGGAGGCAUGAUCUGAAAUACGGGUAAGCCAGGAGUUAGACAACUUUAUGACACUAGACUUUAUAGCCCAAAAAUAAAACACCAGAAAAGGAAAACAUUCCUAAAUGCCUUAUAGCCUAC